GAAACGUUUUUGUGAGUGUGUCGUGUGAGCAGAGAGGCGAGCGAUGAUGGCUGCAUCUCGAGUAAUCGCCUGAUCCUUGUUUAUGAUAUAACUGCAUGACCUAUGGGGCUGGUCCUUUUACCGCCUCCACAUUGGGAUGGCGAUGCAUGACCUGUACUGCUCCCCGUUUGAGCCCGUGCAAACCCAUGCUUGUACGUCGCAGCGGGAACACGCCCCCGGCGUCGAACCUACUCAUUGAGGUAUCCAAAAC
rnacentral:lncRNA from 1 species